UGUGAAUAAUCUCACCUAUGUCAAUGCCAUUUAUCUGUGUCCCAAUCUUAUCUGUAGCUGAGGGUCAUCCCCCUUCUAUUAAAGGGAAACUAAAGUUAAAGGGAACACUUUUCUACUUUUUUGAAAAACGUUUUCCUAAAUGUUUAUAUUCAUAUCUCUGUAUCAUGUCUGAAUGUAAGUUAUUUAGAAAAACUUGUAUGUGCCAUUUUUUUAAAGCUGGUUAGGGGAAGCAAUUUUCCUUUUCACUUGCUCUCUUGAGCACUUCCUGAACAGGAAAUCGAAAAUAAAAAAAUAAUAUGUACAUAUUUGCGAGUAAAAUACUUCCAUACAGUAGAAACUUGUGUAUUUCAUAUAUAGUUUCUCUUUAAGUUUACCCUGCUACAGGAUUGGCCAGUUGAUUCUGGGAAAUAAACAAGUAAUAUUUAAAAAAAAAAAAAA